GAUGAAGAACGUAGCGAAAUGCGAUACUUGGUGUGAAUUGCAGAAUCCCGUGAACCAUCGAGUCUUUGAACGCAAGUUGCGCCCGAAGCCACUAGGCCGAGGGCACGCCUGCCUGGGCGUCACACGCCGUUGCCCCCCCAUCUACUCCUUCGGGAUUGCGGGGGGGCGGAUGAUGGCCUCCUGUGCGCCUAGCCGCGCGGUUGGCAUAAAUACCAAGUCCUCGGCGACGCACGCCACGACAAUCGGUGGUUGCGAAACCUCGGUUGCCCGUCGUGUGCGUUCGUCGCGCAUCGAGGGCUCGAAAAAAUGCUCGGCUCCGGCUGGGCUUUCAACGCGACCCCAGGUCAGGCGGGGUUACCCGCUGAAUUUAAGCAUAUCAAAAAGCGGAGGA
rnacentral:misc_RNA from 1 species